UAUCCUUUGGGAAUAUGAAGGUCAAGUUAAAUAUAUUUCGUGCCUCUGAUCAACCUGCAAAGGAAGUUGAGUGCUUCCUAAUAGACAAAAUGGACGAUCUUGUAGAAGAAACCCUUCCCUAUAUUUUGGCAGAUAACCCUCUGAAAACAUACUUGGCCCAUUUUGACUUUGAUAUAGACAAGGCCAUAGAAGCAGUCAACUUCCUGCCCAACAAUCAGUCUUC
rnacentral:lncRNA from 1 species